rnacentral:lncRNA from 1 species
UGAUAGCUUGUAAAGCAUUUGGUUCAUGGUGAUACUUGCAUACUCUGAAACUUUAACCAGAAAACUGAUAGGGGAAUGUAACAGACAAUUAUCUUUCUUCUCAAAAUAAAUACAAUGAUGCGGAAGGACAACCCAUUGUUAAAAAUCUGCUUCUCACCACCCAUCCAGCUGGUCACUGGGAGGCCAGCUUCAAAACAGGAGUUUUUAUGUAGCUGCUUCUAAUGGUCCAGAGUCCACUUGCCUCCCACAUCAGAGAAUAAUGCCCUUUCCAAAAAACCCUGUUGGACGCUAUACUCUAUUUGGCAGAUAUCCUGCCAACAAAGUCACAUCACUUUGUCAUCCAAUCUUAAGUAAGUCCAGAUUAGCCGUUCAGCACUGCAGAUCAAAAUUCACCCUUUAAAUUGUCAAGAAUUUAGAAAAAUAAAACCCAACCAAUGCAAUUCUACAAUGAAUACAUCUUAAGUGGCUUUAGGUAAAUAGUGUAUUUCUCUUUAAAAAGUCAUCAAUGGAUUCAAUAUUGAGCUCUGUAAUUUCCAAAUUUAAAUUUUAUUCUACUGAGGCAUUUUGUUGGUAAAGCAAAACUAAUUAAUUUGACAUUUGUU